GGCCAUUUUUACAAGAAAAAAACAAAUCAACCCUAGCUUUCUCUGCUUGGGUUUCUAAAUUUUUCUAUGCCGCCACCAGCAACCGUUCUAAGGCCUUCGAUCCUCUCCCAAUCUCCGAUUGCGACGGAGUGGACAACACCAGGUAUGGCUAGCCUGGAGGCGCGCAUGGAGGGCGGACGGAGGAGCAGCGGCUGAGGGUGAUGCUAGGGUUACUGCCGAAACUGUUUAGGGUUAUUGGGCUAGGUAUUUGGGUUUAGUUUAUUGGGCUGGGGUUAAUUGUAAUUGGGCCUUGUAAUUUGGACUGAAUUAGAUUUGGGUUUAUUUUUACUAUAAAUGGACUGGACGUUUAUUGUUUUUUAUUUUUUUAUUUGGUUUUUUAUUUCAAUCGGGCCCGGGCAAAUUGGGCCGAUUACACACUAGAACUGGGCUUGCUCUUUCUAGCGCAUAGGCUCCUCAAACAACUCUUUCGGAAUGGUGACGUGCUAUGGCAAUGAUUACAGACUUAAGGAGAGUUCGAUUAGAAAAAGCAUCAGUGUUGAUUUUAAUGACACUUGAAGGUGGUUUUUGUCAGCAGUUCGUUGGCUCAUUUACUUGCCUUAUAUGAAAGCAUGCAUGCUAUCUUCUGUGAA